rnacentral:rRNA from 1 species
AUUCCAGCUCCAAUAGCGUAUACUAAAGUUGUUGCAGUUAAAAAGCUCGUAGUUGGAUUUCUGUUUUUAAAAAUCGGUCGUAACCUCACGGUUUCUGUACCAGGUUUCUUAAAUGCAUCCUCAGGGUUCUGUUAUCUGGUAUUAAUUUAUCGGAUUUCUGGUCCUUGUCAUUUACUGUGAGCAAAAUAGAGUGUUCAAAGCAGGCUUAGGCCAUGAAUACAUUAGCAUGGAAUAAUAAGAUAGGACCUUGGUCUAUUUUGUUGGUUUACAUUCCAAGGUAAUGAUUAAUAGGGAUAGUUGGGGGUAUUCGUAUUCAAUUGUCAGAGGUGAAAUUCUUGGAUUUAUGGAAGACGAACUACUGCGAAAGCAUUUACCAAGGAUGUUUUCAUUA